rnacentral:rRNA from 1 species
CAGCUCGGCGAGUGAAGCGGCAACAGCUCAAAUUUGAAAUCUGGCUCUCGGGCCCGAGUUGUAAUUUGUAGAGGAUACUUUUGAUGCGGUGCCUUCCGAGUUCCCUGGAACGGGACGCCAUAGAGGGUGAGAGCCCCGUCUGGUUGGAUGCCAAAUCUCUGUAAAGUUCCUUCGACGAGUCGAGUAGUUUGGGAAUGCUGCUCUAAAUGGGAGGUAUAUGUCUUCUAAAGCUAAAUACCGGCCAGAGACCGAUAGCGCACAAGUAGAGUGAUCGAAAGAUGAAAAGCACUUUGAAAAGAGAGUUAAAAAGUACGUGAAAUUGUUGAAAGGGAAGCGUUUAUGACCAGACUUGGGCUUGGUUAAUCAUCUGGGGUUCUCCCCAGUGCACUUUUCCAGUCCAGGCCAGCAUCAGUUUUCCCCGGGGGAUAAAGACUUCGGGAAUGUGGCUCUCUUCGGGGAGUGUUAUAGCCCGUUGUGUAAUACCCUGGGGGGGACUGAGGUUCGCGCAUCUGCAAGGAUGCUGGCGUAAUGGUCAUCAACGACCCGUCUUGAACCACGGACA